rnacentral:rRNA from 1 species
GUGCCAGCAGCCGCGGUAAUACGUAGGGUGCGAGCGUUGUCCGGAAUUACUGGGCGUAAAGAGCUCGUAGGCGGUUUGUCGCGUCGUUCGUGAAAACUUGGGGCUUAACUCCAAGCGUGCGGGCGAUACGGGCAGACUUGAGUACUACAGGGGAGACUGGAAUUCCUGGUGUAGCGGUGAAAUGCGCAGAUAUCAGGAGGAACACCGGUGGCGAAGGCGGGUCUCUGGGUAGUAACUGACGCUGAGGAGCGAAAGCGUGGGUAGCGAACAGGAUUAGAUACCCUAGUAGUCC